UGGGGAAUAUUGCACAAUGGGCGAAAGCCUGAUGCAGCAACGCCGCGUGAGUGAUGAAGGUCUUCGGAUUGUAAAGCUCUGUCUUUUGGGACGAUAAUGACGGUACCAAAGGAGGAAGCCACGGCUAACUACGUGCCAGCAGCCGCGGUAAUACGUAGGUGGCGAGCGUUGUCCGGAUUUACUGGGCGUAAAGGGUGCGUAGGCGGAUGUUUAAGUGAGAUGUGAAAUACCCGGGCUUAACUUGGGUGCUGCAUUUCAAACUGGAUAUCUAGAGUGCAGGAGAGGAGAAUGGAAUUCCUAGUGUAGCGGUGAAAUGCGUAGAGAUUAGGAAGAACACCAGUGGCGAAGGCGAUUCUCUGGACUGUAACUGACGCUGAGGCACGAAAGCGUGGGUAGCAAACAGGAUUAGAUACCCUGGUAGUCCACGCCGUAAACGAUGAGUACUAGGUGUAGGAGGUAUCGACCCCUUCUGUGCCGCAGUAAACACAUUAAGUACUCCGCUGGGAAGUACGAUCGCAAGAUUAAAACUCU
rnacentral:rRNA from 1 species